CUAAAGGCUAGAUAAGGACUACACGCACCUGUUUCUUCCUCUUACCUACAAUUCUUAAAGACGUGCUUGAAAACGGAUCUCAUUUGUAGCCUGGGGACCGCUGGUAUUCACCCUCUCUGAAGCGACAACAAGAACAGGAAGCGGGGUUGGGCUGCCGCCCCCACCCCACCUGCUCCCAACAUGAAAACUUCCCGUAAUGAGAACGGAAACAGAGGUGCUGUCCCCUACAGCCCCAGAGCCUGGGCAGAGGGGAGCCAUGGCCGGGCCCCAGCCCUUGGCUCUGCUCUUGACCCUGCUGACCCUCUGCCUCACUGCUGGGACCCCUGAGGUGUGGGUGCAGAUUCAGAUGGAGUCCACUAAGGUCCCAUCCUUCACUGUCCGCUGUGGAUUCCUGGGAUCGGGCUCCAUUUCCCUGGUGACUGUGAGCUGGGGGGGGCCGGACGUUGCCGGAGGGACCAGGCUGGCUGUGCUACACCCUGACUUAGGCACCCAGCAGUGGGCCCCUGCUCACCAGGCCCACUGGGAAGCCAGAACCAACAUCUCCCUCACCCUGGGAGGGUCAGAGGGGAAAAGCCCCAGUCCCAACAGCACCUUCUGCUGCAAGUUUGUGUCCUUCCCUGAGGGCUCUCAGGAGGCCUGUGGGAACCUCCUCCUCAGCACAGACCAAGGUCAGUCCCUAGGCUUCAGACGCCCCACACCAGCCCCCGGACACAAGUGCGAGCUCAGGGUUCCAAGAUGGCAGAACUACGUGAUGGAAAGAGCCUGUACCCUGAGUCACUGCUUGGAAGAAAGCCACCCAGGAACACUGAGGAUCCACACUGGCAUGAUUGGAGAGGAUCCUGAGGACCCAGAGGAAAGUGAAACUGCAAGAUGGAAGGAGCCUGGGUCCCUGAAUCCCCAACUGGAGGAGAGACACCCAAGAGAGCCUUUGAUUAGGAACAUCUACACUGGAAAACCCUGGCACUGCUCCCCAUUGUCCAAACACAGCUGGACAACAGUCCAUGAAGCCUCCCAGGACACAGAGCCCAGAGCCGAGCAGACAAAUGUGAGAGUGGAUCCAGAAGGAAAAUUGAAGAUGUCCAGCACAUUGCAUGAGAUCCAACAGCAGGACUUGCACCCUGUUUUACUACAGGAAGUGCAACUUCAUCUUCUCUACCGAUAGAACAAAAUUCACCAAUUUGUGCUAAAGGGCAUUGUUCUGUGCUUGUACCUUAUUUGAUCGUGAUCGUGAUCGAAUAAGGUUCCGAGACAGGUUACACAGCAGGUCCAGUAAAGUCCAAUUUCCAGAUAGCAUUUCUGUCUUCCAGAGAAGCCUUUUUCUCCUUUGAUUCCUUGUGUGAGGAAACAAACUGAUAGGCUUUAUUCAGCCUGGGGUGUCAUCAUCGUUAUACUUACUAUUUUCUGAGUUCCACUGUUAACUAUUUUCAUUACAAUUCUUACCAUUCAGUGAACUGCUUUAGAUCCACUGGUCCAAUUUUGUGAACCAGGGAUAUAAUGAAGCCCAACUGGAGCAAUGAAAAACAGACAUUGGACAAAUAUGAGCCACUGACACACAAUGACCUGAAGUUCCAUGGGCUGAGGUGAGAUCAACCUGCCAGUUCAGGCCUUGAAAGCAAUGCUCAGCCUUUCAGAGAGAAAGGUUACUGAAAACAUGUUGCAAGAAGGGAAAAAAGAAAAAGGAUUUCCGUGUCAAUCAUAACUAAUCUUAGGUUUCAUUCUGUGAAAUACACAUAAACAAAAUAAUUUCAGGGCCUUUUCUCCUAAAUUGGCCAAACCGCUUGAGGACCACUUGAGGACCCCAGGGGCUGGAAUGUGCUAGAGCCAACUGUUAUAUUUUCAGGAGUGUUGUUGAGCUCGUUGUUAAACACAGCCAUUAUUGAAAAUUUAAGAAUGUAAACUUGAAAUAAAUUAUAUCAAAAAUGAUAAUAAAUUCUCAAAACUCAUCACUCCCUAAAUAUUUUAUCGCAUGUUACUAUUAUCUUGAGGUAAUUUAUCCUGUCCUAUAUUAUCUGUAUGGUUUUUUUUUGUUUGUUUUUUUAUCUGUAUGGUGGGAAUACUGUACAAUGACAUGCAACUUCACUCUCAGUGACCCUUCGUUGGCAGUUAAAUCGGUUAUUGUGGGAGUAUUUACACUACGGAAAUAGGCAAAUGCUACAAAUCAGGGCUCUUUUUGGGAGAACUAUUUUCUAAACAUCGACCAGCAUACCUCCAUAGGAGGGGGACCAUUAAGACAGGGAACAGAGGGGCCCCCAUAUCUGCAAUUCACAUGAACAAAUUAAAGCAACAAAGUAACAGGAAAUGGGCCAGGGUGCAGAAACAAAGGCAUUCCCCAGAACAACGGGGCAGGGUAUCAGAAAACAGCCCACAAUCUUCUUUAAUGUUGCCUUUCAGAAGCAGCUAGAUGAAACCAGCCCCAGGGACAUGCGCAGAAUAUCCAUCUGUGACCACUGUGUGACCUUCUGCCAGGGGCAGCAAUGGGCUACAGCCACAGCUGGAGAACCAAACUUGGGGAGCAAGAGAUUACAGAGGCAUUUGGUCGACAUUGACUGCCUCGCACAGUUUGACUGGUGACAAGAACCCAAGGCAGCACCUCAGCCCUCAAGGAGCUCCCUGUGUAGAAGAAAGACAACAGAAAAAAGGGAACCAUUGGUUUUUAAUGAUGCCUAAGGACUACUGGCUGUUGUCACCGCAUAAGGAAGUGGUUGGAAGCAUGAGCUCUGGGCUCAGACCCAACACCACUGCAGCCAUUUAUUGGCUGGGUUGUCUCAAGCAAGUGAGGCUUAUAACAUCACUCGGGACCUCAGGUCCCCCUUGCGUAAAAACAGGCCGGCCUACAUCGUGGGGUUGUUGGGAGGGUUAAAUGCAAAGCGCUGGUACACAGCAAGAGACAGAUAGCGUCCCUGCCUGUUUCGACAUUAACUUUUUAGGACUGGCCUUCUCUCUAAUUGUUUCACAUUGAGAGGCUUCUCUUCCCAGCCAAACUCCAGUUUCUACAGGGCUCACUCCAGGCCUGUCCCCAACCAGGGGCAAGGAGAAUUAUCUCUGGGCCCCUUUCUCCAGAUGGGAGACAAGAGCAACUAACUGAGAGGCUUCUAUAGUAGAAACGCAUCACAGAAACCGAUGAAGAUCUGUUACCGCAAAUUGCGGGUUCGAGCUGCCUGUGGCAAAGCCAAUACUGAGACAAGAGGAGUUCACUCAACAAGCCAAUGCCAACCUCAUCCUAGAGAAGGAGUUGGGCAAAGCCUCUUACAGGAUGAGCCCUGUGGGUUACUAAAGCCCCCAGUUCCCAUGUCUCACUAUCACCGACCUGUCCACAGCUGUCACAGUUGAGACAACGUGUUGGUCCAUCUUCAGCCCACAGAGCUGUGUCACCGGGUAA